UUCCUUUUCUUAUUCAUCAGCUUUGUAAUUCACUAUUUAUCUUAAUUUCCUAUACAUUUAUGUAUGUGGGUGUUUAUUAGUAUACAAAGUGAUUAAAUUUAUAAAAUGAUGUAAUAGGUUUUGAGAAAUUUCAGCUUAAAAGAAUGGUUUUUUAAGAUUAUUGAUUGCUUUUCUUGAUAUUGUUUGUUGAUGGGUAUUCUGUUGUUAGGAUAGGGAUUAUGGUUUUAGCAUCAUUUUAUAAGGAUUCCUUGAUACAAUCAAUCAUAGGGGGUGUUUUCUGAUUAAUGGUUUUGGAGAGAAGUGAAUGUGAUUAAUGGAAUUUGGUGUUCCAAGGUUGAGCUUGUGUGGGAUUUAUGAUUCUUUCUAGUUGAGAAAUUUUGUGAGAAUAUGUUGACUCUAGCCUCUAUGGAUUUAGAUCUUAAUUGUUUAUGUGACAUCUAAUUACUAAAGUUCUUGCUCUUUGCUUCUCCUGUGCACUAAAGAAUCUAGAAAUGCCAUAUAAGGCUAAUACACUGUUCUAUUUUUCUGACAAGUAAAUUAUAUAUUUAUAUAUACUGUUCGGAAAUAAACGUUUUAUGUCUUGUGUGGGGUUUAUGAUUCUCCUUUUCUUCUACCCAAGCACAAAGGGGGUUUAUAAAAAGCUUAUGUCUGGUCCCCAAAACCCUCCCCUCCCAGUUAGUUGAAGUAGAGGCAAGAUCACUACUUGAAUACCAUGUGGUUACUUAAACUUUUAGUUUGCUACAGGUUUCGGUCCAUGCAUGUUUAUAAAAGGAUGCAUAUUCCUUCAUUUUGGAAAUCCUGGAGCUUUUUGUUGAUGAAAUUUCUUCUUGUUUUGUUAAAAUGGUAGUAACUGCAAUAGCUCAAGGCAUUCUUCAUUGUACUAGUACAGCUUGCCUAAUCAGAGUAAUGUUUUUGGCUAUUUAUCAUUAAUCUUAUAGCCAAUGACCAAGUAAAAGACUUAUUUGUCUAUCUUUCUAAGUGACAAACCAUAAUCGCAAUCCUUUUCCUUCUAGCAUAAUUGGUAUUGAUUAUUGUGAUGCGGAAAAAUACUUAAACAUAAUCAUUACAAACGGUGGGAGAAAAAAAUACGCACAGAAUGCAAUUCUUGCAUAAUUUUUAACUGGCCAGCUAAAGCUCUACUACUUGAUAUGAUUAAAAUCAUAUACCUGUAAUCUUUGGCUUUAUCCAUGUCUAUGAUAAGGCAAUGAGCAAAAUGUUGAAUAGACAAAGUAUCAAUUUCUUUGGGUGUACAUGGUAUCUUGCAUACUGUAACAAUAAGUACACUGGAGUCAUUCAAAUGGCUCAUUAGGAGCUUAUAAUAAUAUAGGUGAGUGGCAACAUAUUCUAUUUGCUCAAACUCACUCACCUACUUAACUAAUCCCUGAACAAAUAUUGAUGGCUUUAUAAUUAGGCGUAAGGAGGCCCACCACUCAUCUCUCUUAGACCCUGCAAAAGUGGUAUCUUUGUGCACUAUGUACAAUCUUUUUAAUCUAUAGGACCUACAUAUGGUGAUCAUUUUUAAUAUCUUGUUUGUGUCUUAGUCAGGUUUGAGAAAGAAAAACCUGGAGUAUACAAGAAUACUUCAGGGGUAGUAAAUCUGGUUUCGUUAAAUUUACAUGGAAAUUGACUGAGUGGUCUGAUAAAGGAAAUAUAUUAUUUGCAUGUUAUGGUCUUAUAUAGUUUGAGAGAUUGGUUAAUUUGCUGGAGGAUAUCAUGGAUGGCAGCCGAAUAUUGAUCUUCAUGACUACCAAGGAAGGAUGUGAUCAGGUCACCCAGCAGCUUUAUGUGGAUGGUUGGCAAGCUCUUUCAAUUAAUGGAGAUAAAAGUCAAGCAGAAAGGGAUUGGGUCCUCUCAGAGUUUAAAGCUGGCAGGAGUUCUAUUAUGACUGCAACAGAUGUUGCAGCUUGCGAUUUGGGAAUGGAGAUAAAGCUUUAAUGCUUGUUCAAAGACUUGAUAGAAAUUCAUUUUUAGUACAGGAAAUUGUGUUGGUAAACAAUAACUAAUAGCACUCAUCAUCACCAUUAUCAACUCAUUUUGGAAAGAAAUCAUUAUCUAGAUAUUCUUGUUGUCCCU